CCAAAACCAACCUAUUAAUCUUCUCCUCCAUAACAAACCAAAGAAAAAUGAACGAUCAUAAUUUAUAUUAUAUAACGUCAACCCUCUCAACAUUAACAGAUGCAGCAAUCUAAGGCGAUUAUCUUUAACAUUUACAAAAUAGAAUCUUAAACAUCCAAGACUUUUCAACUCUCUCGGAAAAUAGAUAAUAUACAAAAUCCCGUCUACACUCCAAUCACAAUGCUUCCCAUGAAAACUUCAUAAACUGCAACACCAGCGUGGGCUUCAACGUUUGAUAACAACUGCAUCACAAUCACAACAUGACGAAUCAAAAUGAGGUUCCUCUAAGAACCGAAUAUUGAGAUAACAUCAUUUUUGCAAUUGUAGAGGCAAGUCAAAGCAACCACAUCAACGGUCCCAUACCUGAUCUAAGCAACUCUAUGGUAAACAGAAAAGGUACAUCAGUGAUUUCAUUGAACACUAACUUUAACCUAAGACCAAGGACGAGGAACAACAAUCCAGCAAUAUACCACAAUCAUCCUCUUCACCUGCAGUUUGUUCAUAUACUACCUGACUAAACUAAUAACACUACACAAAAAGACCUCAAAGUUGAAACCUCACAUGAACAGCUGACAACAGGCAAUCAGUAGCAUCCUUUGGUAUCAUUGUACACUGUAUAACCACAUGGGACCCUUCAGCAUCAAAGAAGUUCAUACUUAACAAUCUUAUAAGGCCAUGACCCCACGAGAGUUUGGUCAAAUCUCCGGGUAAGUGUUAGGCAAGGCAAAUAACAACCGCAAACGUGAAGAAAGUAACAGGGAUAUAAACCUGAAACGGAAUACACUUCAGUAACCUUUUAACUUCACCCCACGAGAGUUUGGUCAAAUCUCUGGGUAAGUGUUACCUUGCAUCAAGUAAUACAUGAACCGAUGAAAGGGAAGGCAACUAAGCACCUCAAAAAUGAAGUAACAAGAAUAUAAACUAAAACGGGAUAGACACUUCAAUAACCUUUUAACUUCCCCCUACGUAGAAGAUUGUAAGCCUCUCAGAGUUGUCUUCCUACACAAAAUGUUUAAAUGUUGUGCAUUUCAACCAAUGAGACACAAAGCUUAUAUAAUCAAGUAUUUAUCGUCCCAGUAAAUCUGUAAGCAAAACUCACUUGUCUAGUCUCUUCCUGCAAACAUAACACUCGCUUGUCCCUUCUUUAAAAUUCUGCCUCGUACAGGAAAACACAUCUUUCUUUUUGGAAUAAAAAUCACCUUCAGUGAACUCAAAAAGACUUUCCCAUGAAAACUUCACAAACUGCAACCCUAACAUAGGCUUCAAUGUGUGACGGAGCAUAUUAAGGUUCACGAGAUGAUUAGUUGAGGAAACAUCACUUCCCCAAUCGUAAGAUCUCAACAAAAGUAACUAGAAUGGAGAUUUUUCGUGUUAGCCAGAGAGUUUUUCCCUGCAAGCCAAUAUGUCCAAGGACUACGAUUUGGAGGUAACAAUCCUACAACAUAUUUAAUCAAUCUCCACCAGAAGUAAGCAUAUUAAGCCUCACCUGAAAGCAAACAACACAUGUGUCCCCCACAAAAAUCAAUUGAGGACUUCAUUAUCAAAUGUUUCAGAACCAUUAAAACCAGCCAGGAAGAAAGAAACCUCAGAAGUCAGAAAUAAAGACGAAUAUCAUCAAAACCAAUGUGCCUGCUAUGAGCCAGCCCCCAUGAGGUCACACAACCAGCAAGAAUCACUUAAAUAAAUACCUAACUGAAGAGAAUAUGAGCAUACACCAUGACCAUUACUAACAAUCAGUGUGGACCUACAAAAUAACUCGAUGUGGCAGACUAGCAGUUUUAUGACCACCAAAAUACGAUGUAUAAAUGUUGAGGUAUAUGAUGAAACCUAUAAUCUUCAAAAGCUUCAGACAUUAACCAGAUAUUGCUGAAAAACUGAGAAUCAUCAUCAAAAGGCCAGAAGACUAAAUCUUAAAAUCAAUAGAACAAGUAUAAACUCUGAGCGUCCACACCUUCAGAUAUGUCAGCCUACAGAGUUUUUCAACCAUCCUGUCCAGGUAAAUCCCAGAGCAUGAAACAGAAGAGUCACCAAAACAAAAAGUUUUUAUGCAUAACUGACGAGCGAACUCAAAGAACCUUCAAUGUUACCUUCUCUUGCUGGAGAACAGACCAACCCAUAAGUAAAAUAUACUGGAUCCUCAAAAUCUGUAGCACAGUUCCGCUCAGAGAGAAGCAGAAGACAACAAAAUUAAUAGCAUCAACUCUCAGGAAAUAAAUAGCCUCGUCAAAGCAGAAACAAAGAAGAAAAGAUGGAACCCUUCAAUUGGAGGUUGGAGCUUACUUUUCUUUAAUACCCAGUAAACUAUAACAGUCAGAAGUAAUUCAAAAAUCAACAAAGACGCAAUAAUCAAAAGCCAAAGAAACCUAAGAAUCAAACCUCAGAAGAAAAGUAGCUCAUAACACCUGACCUGGAUCUACCAGAUAUGGAAGAUCCAAAUUUGUCCCUACUGAGAGAUAACUAGGCAAAUUCAUGAUGUACAGUUACAGGGAGUGUAGUCGAGCAGACCAAAACCUUUGCAAAAUCAAACUCCAAUGCAAUGAUAAGUUUCAUCCAGUAGUAGCAAUUAGCAUCUAUAUAGAAAAGAUGCAGCAGACAGGAACUGAUCACAUCUCCACCAAAUAUAAUAGUAACCAAAACAAAAAAAAAGGCACACCACGGGUUAAGAAAAUACUGCAAAUUCAAACUUCGAUGCCCAAAAAAACCAAUAAGAGAUCCUGGCUCCUUCACAUCCUCAACAUACCAAAAAAUCAAAAGAAUCUCCCCCCUAUCACAGUCCAGAGCUCAGGAAGUGCAACAGACUUCAAAAUCCAGGAUGUACGAAACAACAGAUUGCAGAAAAUCCAAAAAAGAGGAACAAGAAAACCUGAGUAACAACAUGUCUAGCUUUCUGCAUAAGAGGCACUCAGACUUGAAGCUGUUCAAUACAAAAAAAUAAUUUAGUAGACACAUCUAUGAUGAAAAGGACAGGAAAAACAUUAGAGUUAGCAAUCAUCAGAUACAUAAAAGCAUUGAAUACAAAAACUAGGUAAAAGGACAAGACAUAGGAACAAACUCGUUUGGGAGGGAUCUAUGAUCAUCUUUAGUCUGAGUGUGUGAGGUGAAUUGUGAAGAAAUUCUGGGAAACAGAGACACAGGAAAAAUCAUACCUCACCAACAAUACAACAGCCAACUUUUAAGUAAAAAAUGAAUGGGUAAAAAGGUAUGUAGAUGCAAAGUAACCAGAGACACGAUAUAGGCAAACCAUCUUUCCCUCUCAUUAUGCUUGAACCUUUCUCCAAAAUUAGAAAAGAAAACAUCAAGUAAUAGGGAAAUAAGAAACCAAAAAAAUAAAACAAAAGGAGAUAAGAAACCGCCAGAGAGGUAACAUGAAGCACAAGAUCAAACACAUCUUUAAGCUCAAAAUAUAUACCUAUAAACAAAAGAAGAAUUUCACAUCAGAAAAAAAAACCACGCCACAAGAAUAUGAGAGUAUGAUAAGACUCUAAACAUAGAUGUAGCAUAAAAGAUAAGACCAACAGAAAGAAAGGGGAAAGAAACCAGUUAGUAGCCGGACGUUUCUCUCUUUUAGAACCUCACAACCUAUAACAAAAGAUCAUAAAACAUAGAUGCUAACAUCACUAGCAAGAUCAGCAGACAUUACUAUUAACCUGAAACAUCCAAUAACAAAGUAUAUGGAAACAAUCAUAUUGCUGAAAGAAUGCACAAGGAAAAGAAAACGAAAAACCUGAACACACAUGACCAGCCUUCUGCAUCAGAGAUCUCAGACUUAGCAGAUCUAAUAGACAUAAGACAUUCAAUACAAAAUAAACUUUAAAAAGAAAAGUAUAAGAACAAACUCCUCUCAUAUGAAUGUGUGGAGACACAGCAGAGACUCUUAGAGAAGUGACUGAUGUUGAAAAUCUGGAAAACACAGAGUAGAGCACCGAUCAAACCUAACCAACUAUAGCCAACAUUGAAUAAAUCAACCAAUAGCAAAAAGUGUAUAUAUGCGAAGUAACCAGAAACUCGUUUGGGAGGACUGUAUGAUCAUCUUUAGUCUGAUUGUGUAAACGGAAACAGAAUGAAGUGGUUUGUGAAGAAAAUCUGGGACACAGACACAGGAAAAAUCAUACCUCACCAGCAAUAUCAAUCUUAAAUUAAACAAUCUAUAGAUAAAAAGUUGUAUAGAUGUGAAGGAACCAGAAACCAAUAUAAUAUGCAACCCUUCCUUUUCUCCCGCAAUGCCUUGAACUUCUACAAUCUAAAUAGAAACUUCUCCAAAAAUUAAAAAAGAAAAACAUCAGGUAAUAUGGAAAUAAGAAACCCUAAAAAUAAGACAAUGGGAGAUAAGAAAACCGCCAGAGAGGUAGCAGGGAACCAUUAGAUAAAAAUCUUUCAAACUCGAUAUAUAUACCUACAAAGAAGGGGACCAUUUGACAUAAAAAACCCACCGUCAAAAGCAUAUGAAGAGAGUAUGAUCAAAUACUAAAAAUAGAUGUAACAUGAGAGAUAACAUACUACCAACAUAAAUAAAGGGGAAAAAAACAUAGUAACCUGACGCUUCUCUUUUUAGAACUCACUGCCUUAAAUAGAAGACAAAGACUUGUAAGCAUAAAAUAUAAGUGCUAACAUCGCUAAGAAGAUCUGUUAACCUGAAACAUCCAAUAACAACUCUGUGGAGACAACAGAUUGCUGAAAGAUACCCAAACGAAUAACAUUCAAUACAGAAACUACUUGCAAAGGAAAAAUAAAAAGAGUAAAUGAACAAACUCAUUAGGAAGGUAAUUCAAGGUCAUCUUUCAUAUGGAUAUGUGAAGACAGCAGAGAAACAGAGAGAAGAGACUGAUGUAGAAAUCUGGAAACACACAAUAAGACACACAGGACAGAUCAUAAUCAACCAACAACAAAAGCCUAAAAUAAUAUAAAACAACCAAUAACAAAAAGGUGAAUAGAUGUGAGUUAACCAGAAACACGAAAUCAUACUCAACCAAGCCUUCUCUCCCACAAUGCCUUCAACUUCUUAGAUCUAAACCAAAGAUUUCACCCAAAAAAAUUAGAAGGAAAACCACACGUAAUAUAGGACUCUAAAAAGGAAACAAAGGGGAAUAAGAAAACAGCCAAAGAUGUAACAUCAGGGAGCGACGACAGAUCAAAUAUAUCCUUCAAGAUAAACUGAGACGGAAUAGAACAGAGGUAAUCGUGAUUGUAACAAGGAAAGUAAAAAAUAUGUAACACGAGAAAUCAGAAGAAACCAACAGAUAGGGGAGAAGAAAUCUACAACACAGCAAUCCCAUUGCCUCCACGAUCUGCGUCAAACAGAGAGAUAUCGCUUAUGUAGAAAAAGCCAAAAAAAACAAAAAGUAUUGGGAAAGAGGAGAAAAAUCAAACAGAUAUAACGAUCAAUCAAACCAUCACCGGUCGAUCUUAGUAUCUUCCACAAUCACCAAUCAAUCAUAGUACCCUCCUAAAUCAAAAAUAGAACGAGGAGUAAAUAUAACAUAAAUUGAAAAAGGUAAAAAUUCAGAAGCUAGAUCGAGGAUCGGAUCAAAAAAUCGAUUUAAGACGUAGCCUAGAGAAACCAGGUGACAAAGAUCCAAAAAAACCAAUCACCGAUCAUAGCAUCAUCCAAGAUCUACAACAACAUGACGACAAGGAAACAAAAAGUGGUGAAAAUACAGAAUCGAAAGAGAUGAUCGGAUCAUAAUUGGCAUCCAAAACAUCUGCGAGACGAAGAGACGUAAGUAAGAAAACGAAAAUCAGAGGAAGAGCACCCCCUGAAGACGUAGCGCAGAGACGCAACAGAGAAACAACAAAUCCACCAAAGCCAUCACCAAGAGAUCAAAGCAUCGAUCCAUCACCAAGAGUAAACCACAUGAACANNN
rnacentral:lncRNA from 1 species